UACGAGGGGGGCAAAUGUUGUUCGGAAUCACUGGGCGUAAAAGGGAGCGUAGGCGGGUUUCUAAGUCAGGUGUUUAAUCCCGGGGCCCAACCCCCGGGACAGGCACUUGAAACUGGGAAUCUUGAAUAGUGGAGAGGUCAGUGGAAUUGGGGGUGUAGCGGUGGAAUGCGUAGAGAUCCCCAAGAACACCAGUUGCGAAGGCGGCUGACUGGACACAUAUUGACGCUGAGGCUCGAAAGCAUGGGGAGCAAACAGG
rnacentral:rRNA from 1 species